rnacentral:rRNA from 1 species
GUGUCAGCAGCCGCGGUAAUACGUAGGGUGCAAGCAUUAAUCGGAUUUAUUGGGCGUAAAGGGCGCGUAGGCUGGAGCGUAAGUCAGAUGUGAAAUCCCGGGGCUCAACCCCGGAAUAGCAUUUGAAACUGCGUUCCUAGAGGGUAGGCGGAGAAAACAGAAUUCCACAAGUAGCGGUGAAAUGCGUAGAUAUGUGGAAGAAUACCUGUGGCGAAGGCGGUUUUCUAGCUUAUACCUGACGCUGAGGCGCGAAAGCAAGGGGAUCAAACAGGAUUAGAUACCCUGGUAGUCCUUGCCGUAAACUAUGUAUACUUGGUGUAGCCGGAAUCAACCCUGGCUGUGCCGGAGCUAACGCGUUAAGUAUACCGCCUGGGGAGUACAGUCGCAAGGCUGAA